rnacentral:precursor_RNA from 1 species
AUCAGAGCAAGAAGAUGUCAGGCUGUGACCCUCUUGAGGGAAGCACUUUCUGUUGUCUGAAAGAAGAGAAAGUGCUUCCUUUUAGAGGCUUACUGUCUGAGAAAAGCAACGUUGUAGUU